UAAGCGACUAAGCGUACACGGUGGAUGCCCUGGCAGUCAGAGGCGAUGAAGGACGUGCUAAUCUGCGAUAAGCGUCGGUAAGGUGAUAUGAACCGUUAUAACCGGCGAUUUCCGAAUGGGGAAACCCAGUGUGAUUCGUCACACUAUCAUUAACUGAAUCCAUAGGUUAAUGAGGCGAACCGGGGGAACUGAAACAUCUAAGUACCCCGAGGAAAAGAAAUCAACCGAGAUUCCCCCAGUAGCGGCGAGCGAACGGGGAGCAGCCCAGAGCCUGAAUCAGUGUGUGGUUAGUGGAAGCGUCUGGAAAGGCGCGCGAUACAGGGUGACAGCCCCGUACACAAAAAUGCACAUACUGUGAGCUCGAUGAGUAGGGCGGGACACGUGGUAUCCUGUCUGAAUAUGGGGGGACCAUCCUCCAAGGCUAAAUACUCCUGACUGACCGAUAGUGAACCAGUACCGUGAGGGAAAGGCGAAAAGAACCCCGGCGAGGGGAGUGAAAAAGAACCUGAAACCGUGUACGUACAAGCAAGUGGGAGCACAGAGCAAUCUGUGUGACUGCGUACCUCUUGUAUAAUGGGUCAGCGACUUAUAUUCUGUAGCAAGGUUAACCGAAUAGGGGAGCCGAAGGGAAACCGAGUCUUAACUGGGCGUUAAGUUGCAGGGUAUAGACCCGAAACCCGGUGAUCUAGCCAUGGGCAGGUUGAAGGUUGGGUAACACUAACUGGAGGACCGAACCGACUAAUGUUGAAAAAUUAGCGGAUGACUUGUGGCUGGGGGUGAAAGGCCAAUCAAACCGGGAGAUAGCUGGUUCUCCCCGAAAGCUAUUUAGGUAGCGCCUCGUGAAUUCAUCUCCGGGGGUAGAGCACUGUUUCGGCAAGGGGGUCAUCCCGACUUACCAACCCGAUGCAAACUGCGAAUACCGGAGAAUGUUAUCACGGGAGACACACGGCGGGUGCUAACGUCCGUCGUGAAGAGGGAAACAACCCAGACCGCCAGCUAAGGUCCCAAAGUCAUGGUUAAGUGGGAAACGAUGUGGGAAGGCCCAGACAGCCAGGAUGUUGGCUUAGAAGCAGCCAUCAUUUAAAGAAAGCGUAAUAGCUCACUGGUCGAGUCGGCCUGCGCGGAAGAUGUAACGGGGCUAAACCAUGCACCGAAGCUGCGGCAGCGACGCUUAUGCGUUGUUGGGUAGGGGAGCGUUCUGUAAGCCUGCGAAGGUGUGCUGUGAGGCAUGCUGGAGGUAUCAGAAGUGCGAAUGCUGACAUAAGUAACGAUAAAGCGGGUGAAAAGCCCGCUCGCCGGAAGACCAAGGGUUCCUGUCCAACGUUAAUCGGGGCAGGGUGAGUCGACCCCUAAGGCGAGGCCGAAAGGCGUAGUCGAUGGGAAACAGGUUAAUAUUCCUGUACUUGGUGUUACUGCGAAGGGGGGACGGAGAAGGCUAUGUUGGCCGGGCGACGGUUGUCCCGGUUUAAGCGUGUAGGCUGGUUUUCCAGGCAAAUCCGGAAAAUCAAGGCUGAGGCGUGAUGACGAGGCACUACGGUGCUGAAGCAACAAAUGCCCUGCUUCCAGGAAAAGCCUCUAAGCAUCAGGUAACAUCAAAUCGUACCCCAAACCGACACAGGUGGUCAGGUAGAGAAUACCAAGGCGCUUGAGAGAACUCGGGUGAAGGAACUAGGCAAAAUGGUGCCGUAACUUCGGGAGAAGGCACGCUGAUAUGUAGGUGAAGUCCCUCGCGGAUGGAGCUGAAAUCAGUCGAAGAUACCAGCUGGCUGCAACUGUUUAUUAAAAACACAGCACUGUGCAAACACGAAAGUGGACGUAUACGGUGUGACGCCUGCCCGGUGCCGGAAGGUUAAUUGAUGGGGUUAGCGCAAGCGAAGCUCUUGAUCGAAGCCCCGGUAAACGGCGGCCGUAACUAUAACGGUCCUAAGGUAGCGAAAUUCCUUGUCGGGUAAGUUCCGACCUGCACGAAUGGCGUAAUGAUGGCCAGGCUGUCUCCACCCGAGACUCAGUGAAAUUGAACUCGCUGUGAAGAUGCAGUGUACCCGCGGCAAGACGGAAAGACCCCGUGAACCUUUACUAUAGCUUGACACUGAACAUUGAGCCUUGAUGUGUAGGAUAGGUGGGAGGCUUUGAAGUGUGGACGCCAGUCUGCAUGGAGCCGACCUUGAAAUACCACCCUUUAAUGUUUGAUGUUCUAACGUGGACCCGUAAUCCGGGUUGCGGACAGUGUCUGGUGGGUAGUUUGACUGGGGCGGUCUCCUCCUAAAGAGUAACGGAGGAGCACGAAGGUUGGCUAAUCCUGGUCGGACAUCAGGAGGUUAGUGCAAUGGCAUAAGCCAGCUUGACUGCGAGCGUGACGGCGCGAGCAGGUGCGAAAGCAGGUCAUAGUGAUCCGGUGGUUCUGAAUGGAAGGGCCAUCGCUCAACGGAUAAAAGGUACUCCGGGGAUAACAGGCUGAUACCGCCCAAGAGUUCAUAUCGACGGCGGUGUUUGGCACCUCGAUGUCGGCUCAUCACAUCCUGGGGCUGAAGUAGGUCCCAAGGGUAUGGCUGUUCGCCAUUUAAAGUGGUACGCGAGCUGGGUUUAGAACGUCGUGAGACAGUUCGGUCCCUAUCUGCCGUGGGCGCUGGAGAAUUGAGGGGGGCUGUUCCUAGUACGAGAGGACCGGAGUGGACGCAUCACUGGUGUUCGGGUUGUCAUGCCAAUGGCACUGCCCGGUAGCUAAAUGCGGAAGAGAUAAGUGCUGAAAGCAUCUAAGCACGAAACUUGCCCCGAGAUGAGUUCUCCCUGACUCCUUGAGAGUCCUGAAGGAACGUUGAAGACGACGACGUUGAUAGGCCGGGUGUGUAAGCGCAGCGAUGCGUUGAGCUAACCGGUACUAAUGAACCGUGAGGCUUAACCU
rnacentral:rRNA from 1 species